AGGGAUGUAGCUAAGUGGUAAAGUGCUUGCCUCCCAAGCAUGGGUGUCCCUA
rnacentral:tRNA from 1 species